rnacentral:rRNA from 1 species
GACGAAGGGGGCUAGCGUUGUUCGGAAUUACUGGGCGUAAAGCGAGUGUAGGUGGUUGUCCAAGUUGGAUGUGAAAGCCUUGAGCUCAACUCAAGAAAUGCAUUCAGGACUGGAUGGCUAGAGGACGGUAGAGGCGUGUGGAAUUCCGGGUGUAGUGGUGAAAUGCGUAGAGAUCCGGAGGAACACCAAUGGCGAAGGCGACACGCUGGGCCGUACCUGACACUGAUGCGCGACAGCAUGGGGAGCAAACAGG